rnacentral:lncRNA from 1 species
UUCAACCUAAUAUGCAUGUAUAAUAAAUUAUUCACACAAAUAACGAAAAUAAAUAAUAUAAGCACAUCAAUAUCCAAAUUAAAUUCAUAAAGAGUCUUCAUUAGAAUUAAUUUUAACGUGUAUAAAUUAUUUAACUUAAUAAUGUAUGCAUAAUAAACCAUAAAAUUUAUACAUACAAACAACAACAGGUUCAAGAUUAAAUUAACAAUAAUAUUAAAUAAUACUAAACUUUCCUUUUUCAUGCAAGUUGCCUACUAUUUCAUGCAAAUUGAUACUAUUUUCAUGCAAGUUUGCCAGCUGUUAUGCAUGUGUAGGUCAUAUCAUAUUGAAUGCAAACAUAUAUAUCAUGCAAGUGGCAGCCAUAUGGUCCUUUGAUAACAUAAAUUAAUAUUUUAAAACCAAAAGAAUCUGCAAAUCUCCUGCAAAAUUCUGAAAUGCCAGGUUUUUUUUUUUAAAUGAACAGAUUGUCUUCUACAAGCGUCGGGUCACUUAGACCCGUUUCCGACCCGAAUGAAAAACCCGGUCAUAUAUCAUGAUUCCGACCACCAAAUUUUGCAAAUUUUAUAUCAAAAAUCUCAGAAAUCAAUUUCCUAAUGAUUCCUAACUUUAUUUCCAUCAAAAACACAUGAAACAUGGAUGUGAAAUUUCUAGAAAAAUUACAAUAAACUUCUAAAAAAUUUUGCAGAGAACAAAACGACAAGGCAGAGGCAAAUAGUGCUCUGAUACCAACUAUUAGAGCUUUAUCACGAUCUAUCAUGUGAAUAAACAACAACAUAUAGAUCAAAUGCGGAAACUAAAGAUCAUAAACUAACCUCCAAUCAUUGUCGUUUGAACUGCAGAAUUUCGAAUUGUGUUUGGUGCUUCCAAGCCUUCAAGACCUCUCUGCGAUGGUGUAGUUUAAUGAAAGUCUCGGCUAGGGGACCAAUACCACUUUAUUCCCUUUAUAUACUUCUUCCCAUCAAAGAAGUUACGAAACGUGAACGGUUACCACAAAAUAGGGAAGAUGGACAGUUAUGAAAAGGUGAGAAGGUGAAUAACUUCCAAUAAAAGAGGAAGAUGAUUGGACCAUUUAAAAAUACCAAAGGUUUACAGCCCACCUAUCCGACACGCUUUCUAUAUAAAGUACCUGAAGCAUUGGUAGCACAUUAGCAAAAUAGCUCAACCCAUAAAUGUGAGAGAAGAUUUACUUGAAUACACAACAUUAUUGGCGUAAAGAAGCUGAAAAUUUAUCCUUCAGGCGAUUGAUAAGCUUAAAUUUCUCCUCAGCUUCCACCUGUUGACGAAUGUCGGACUGCAAGGCUCGAUCAAGGUAAAAGGUCAGUAAGGC